rnacentral:rRNA from 1 species
GACGAACGCGGCGGCGUGCCUAAUACAUGCAAGUAGAACGCACAGGAUGCACCGUAGUUUACUACACCGUAUUCUUGAGUUGCGAACGGGUGAGUAACGCGUAGGUAACCUGCCUGGUAGCGGGGGAUAACUAUUGGAAACGAUAGCUAAUACCGCAUAAGAACAUUUACUGCAUGGUAGAUGUUUAAAAGGUGCAAAUGCAUCACUACCAGAUGGACCUGCGUUGUAUUAGCUAGUAGGUGAGGUAACGGCUCACCUAGGCGACGAUACAUAGCCGACCUGAGAGGGUGAUCGGCCACACUGGGACUGAGACACGGCCCAGACUCCUACGGGAGGCAGCAGUAGGGAAUCUUCGGCAAUGGGGGGAACCCUGACCGAGCAACGCCGCGUGAGUGAAGAAGGUUUUCGGAUCGUAAAGCUCUGUUGUUAAGGAAGAACGAGUGUGAGAAUGGAAAGUUCAUACUGUGACG